rnacentral:rRNA from 1 species
UCAAGCAAGUAUAGGUUUGUGGCGGAUGCCUAGGAGCUGUCCGGCGAAGAAGGCCGCGGUAAGCUGCGAAAAGCUGCGGGGAGGAGCACACAUCCUUUGAUCCGCAGAUAGCCGAAUGGGGUAACCCGUAUGUCGAAAGGCAUACACCGCGCGCGGGAAGAAGAUACUGCGGCGGAGCGAUACUGCGUGAAGUGAACCAUCUAAGUAACGCGGGAAGAGAAAUCAAAAGAGAUUGCGCAAGUAGCGGCGAGCGAACGCGCAGGAGCCUAAACCCUUUAGAGGGUGUUGCAGGGCCGCACGGGGAUGACCCGUGGAGUUAGGAAAAAACCGAUAUGUAGCGGAAGCGUCUGGAAAGGCGCGCGAGACAGCGUGAAAGCCGCGUAGGCGAAAGAUAUCGGACUCCAUGGUGCGGUACCUAAGUAGAGCGGGGCACGAGAAACCCUGUUUGAAUCCGGGUCGACCACGAUCCAAGGCUAAAUACGAGACAGCUACCGACAGCGAAGAGUACCGUGAGGGAAAGGCGAAAAGAACCCCGGUGAGGGGAGUGAAAGAGAACCUGAAACCACAGACCGACAAGAUGUCACGGCGCGCGAGCGUUGUGGCGUGUCUUUUGUAGAAUAAACCUGCGAGUUGCGAUGCGCGGCGAGGCUAAGGGUUGGGAGAUCCGGAGCCGGAGCGAAAGCGAGUGUGAGAAGUGCGAGAAGUCGCGUGUCGCAGACCCGAAGCCAAGGUGAUCUAAUUAUGGGCAGGCUGAAGGCAGGGUGAAACCUGUUGGAGGGCCGAACAGUAAUCUGUUAAAAAAGGUAGUGAUGACCUGUGAUUAGGAGUGAAAGGCUAAACAAACCUGGAAAUAGCUGGCUCUCCCCGAAAUGCCUUUAGGGACAGCCUCAUGCAAAGCGGAAGGAGGUAAAGCACCGGAUGGGAUAGGGGGCGUCACAGUCUACCGACACCAAUCGAACUCAGAAUGCCAUCCGCCAACGCAUGGGAGUGAGACUGUGUGCUCCAAGGUUCAUAGUCGAGAGGGAAACAGCCCGGACCGCCGGCAAAGGUCCCAAAAUAACGCUCAGUGUGAAAUGAGGUGCGCUUGCACAGACAGCCAGGAGGUUGGCUCAGAAGCAGCCAUUCCUUAAAAGAGUGCGUAACAGCUCACUGGUCGAGCAGGCGUGCGCAGACAAUGUAACGGGGCUAAGCGUUAUACCGAAGCCGCGGGUCCGCAUUGUAAGAUGCGGGCGGUAGGGGAGCAUUGCGCUAACCGAAGAAGGCGUACCUGUGAGGGGCGCUGGAGGAAGCGGAAGAGAGAAUGCAGGCACAAGUAACGAAAAGACGGGUGAGAUUCCCGUCCGCCGAAAGCCUGAGGAUUCCCGGGUAAAGGCAAUCUGCCCGGGGUAAGUCGGCCCCUAAGGCGAGGACGAAAGUCGUAGUCGAUGGGAAAUCGGUUCACAAUCCGAUACCCGGCUCAGUUUUGAAGGCAGGACGCAUGAGGUGAAAUCCGGCAGAAGAACGGUAGUUUCUGUCCAAGCGGUAAGGUGUUGAGAGGGCGGUUAAAAGAGCCCUUGAGCUGAGCCGUUACGGGGAGCGGAGCGCAGGCGAAGCGAAGCGGACGUAAUCAGGGUGCCGGGAAAUACUGUCUAAAGUUAGGCUGAGUCGGACCGUACCGGAAACGGACACACGCAGGCAGGAUGAGUAAUCUAAGGCGCACGAGCGACCCCGCGUUAAGGAACUCGGCAAAAAGCACACGUAACUUCGGAAGAAGUGUGGCUCACGCUGAUAAGGAUGUGAGCGGCAGAAAGCAGGCCCAGGCGACUGUUUACCAAAAACACAGCCAUCUGCGAACCGGCAACGGGACGUAUAGGUGGUGACACCUGCCCGGUACCGGAAGGUUAAGGGGAGGGGUUAGCAGCAAUGCGAAGCUCCGAACCGAAGCCCCGGCAAACGGCGGCCGUAACUAUAACGGUCCUAAGGUAGCGAAAUUCCUUGUCGGGUAA